rnacentral:rRNA from 1 species
UACGUAGGGUGCGAGCGUUAAUCGGAAUUACUGGGCGUAAAGCGUGCGCAGGCGGUUUGCUAAGACAGGUGUGAAAUCCCCGGGCUCAACCUGGGAACUGCGCUUGUGACUGGCAGGCUAGAGUACGGUAGAGGGGGGUGGAAUUCCUGGUGUAGCAGUGAAAUGCGUAGAUAUCAGGAGGAACACCGAUGGCGAAGGCAGCCCCCUGGGCCUGUACUGACGCUCAUGCACGAAAGCGUGGGGAGCAAACAGGAUUAGAUA